AGCAGCCGCGGUAAUUCCAGCUCCAAUAGCGUAUAUUAAAGUUGUUGCAGUUAAAAAGCUCGUAGUUGAAUUUCGGGGUCAGUAGAUUGGUCGUGCCACUGGUAUGUACUGGUCUUACUGGCUCCUCCUUCCUGAUGAACCGUAAUGCCAUUAAUUUGGUGUUGCGGGGAGACUGGACUGUUACUUUGAAAAAAUUAGAGUGUUUAAAGCAGGCUAACGCUUGAAUACAUUAGCAUGGAAUAAUGAAAUAGGACGUUCGAUCUUAUUUUGUUGGUUUCUAGGAUUGACGUAAUGAUUAAUAGGGAUAGUUGGGGGCAUUAGUAUUCAAUUGUCAGAGGUGAAAUUCUUGGAUUUAU
rnacentral:rRNA from 1 species